UCCUGCGGUAGACCGCGCACCGUUUGUC
rnacentral:sRNA from 1 species